rnacentral:rRNA from 1 species
UCAUAUGCUUGUCUCAAAGCUUAAGCCAUGCAAGUCUCAGUACAAACUGUAUUAAAGUGAAACCGCAAAAGGCUCAGUAAACCAGUCAUGAUUCACUCGAGUAUACAUGACUGUCUUUGGAUAACUGUGGUAAUCCUAGAGCUAAUACAUGCAACCAAGUCCCGACCAGUCUGACUGGGAAGGACGCUUUUAUUAGAUCAAGACCAAUCGCUCGGCUCGUCCAAGCGUUGCCUUGGUGACUCUAGGUAACACAUCAGAUCGCACGGUCUUCGCACCGGCGACUUAUCCUUCAAAUGCCUGACUUAUCAACUGUCGAUGGUAGACUCUAUGUCUACCAUGGUUGUAACGGGUAACGGGGAAUCAGGGUUCGAUUCCGGAGAGGGGAGCCUNNGCCUGAGAAACGGCUACCACAUCCAAGGAAGGCAGCAGGCACGCAAAUUACCCACUCCCGGCACGGGGAGGUAGUGACAAAAAAUAACGAUACGGGACUCUUAUGAGGCCCCGUAAUCGGAAUGAGUACACUUUAAAUCCUUUAACAAGGAUCCAUUGAAGGGCAAGUCUGGUGCCAGCAGCCGCGGUAAUUCCAGCUUCAAUAGCGUAUAUUAAAGUUGUUGCGGUUAAAAAGCUCGUAGUUGGUUCUGCGUGCCACGCUGUCGGUUCGCCGCCUGCCGGUGUAACUGGCAUGCCGUGGCAUGUCCUGUCGGUGGCGUUCGGGAGCCUCGUCUAGGUGACGGCCCUUGCCAAAAGCUAGGUGUCCGGAGGCCGGGGGUAUACCCGUUCGCCUACUCUAUCCUACCUAGGUGCUCUUUACCGAGUGUCGAGGUAGGCCGACACGUUUACUUUGAACAAAUUAGAGUGCUCAAAGCAGGCUGAAAUCUCUGCCUGAAUAGUGGUGCAUGGAAUAAUAAAACAGGACCUUGGUUCUAUUUUGUUGGUUCUUAGGAACACAAGGUAAUGAUCAAUACGGACAGGCGGGGGCAUUCGUAUUGCGACGUUAGACUUGGCAAAUGCUUUCGCNNNNNNNNNNNNNNNNNNNNNNNNNNNNNNNNNNNNNNNNNNNNNNNNNNNNNNNNNNNNNNNNNNNNNNCUCACCAGGCCAGGACAUUGGAAGGAUUGACAGAUUGAUAGCUCUUUCUUGAUUCAGUGGGUAGUGGUGCAUGGCCGUUCUUAGUUGGUGGAUCGAUUUGUCUGGUUAAUUCCGAUAACGAACGAGACUCUAGCCUAUUAACUAGGCGUUUUCCGGUGUCCACGCCACCGGCGACAAUCAUUCUUCUUAAGGGGACAGGCGGCUUAUAGCCGCACGAGAUUGAGCAAUAACAGGUCUGUGAUGCCCUUAGAUGUCCUGGGCCGCACGCGCGCUACACUGAAGGAAUCAGCGUGUGCCUCCCUAGCCGAAAGGCUCGGGUAAUCCGCUGAACCUCCUGCGUGCUAGGAAUUGGGGCUUGCAAUUGUUCCCCAUGAACGAGGAAUUCCCAGUAAGCGCGAGUCAUAAGCUCGCGUUGAUUACGUCCCUGCCCUUUGUACACACCGCCCGUCGCUACUACCGAUUGAAUGAUUUAGUGAGGUCUUCGGACUGGCGGUAAUCCCUGCCGACUUGUCGGUAUCGAUGAACGCUGGAAAGAUGACCAAACUUGAUCAUUUAGAGGAAGUAAAAGUCG